rnacentral:rRNA from 1 species
CGGACAUAGUGGCGCACGGGUGCGUAACACGUAUGCAACCUACCUUACAUGGGGGGAUAGCCUUUCGAAAGGGAGAUUAAUACCGCAUAAGACAGUAGCUGGGCAUCCAGCAGCUGUUAAAGAUUUAUCGAUGUAAGAUGGGCAUGCGUCCAAUUAGUUAGUUGGCGAGGUAACGGCUCACCAAGACUUUGAUUGGUAGGGGAACUGAGAGGUCAAUCCCCCACACUGGCACUGAGAUACGGGCCAGACUCCUACGGGAGGCAGCAGUAGGGAAUAUUGGGCAAUGGACGCAAGUCUGACCCAGCCAUGCCGCGUGCAGGAUGAAGGCGUUAUGCGUUGUAAACUGCUUUUAUACAGGAAGAAACGACUCUUGCGAGAGGCAUUGACGGUACUGUAUGAAUAAGCACCGGCUAACUCCGUGCCAGCAGCCGCGGUAAUACGGAGGGUGCAAGCGUUGUCCGGAUUUAUUGGGUUUAAAGGGUGCGCAGGUGGUUUAUUAAGUCAGUGGUGAAAGACGGUCGCUCAACGAUUGCAGUGCCAUUGAAACUGGUAGACUUGAGUAAAGUAGAGGUGGGCGGAAUUGAUAGUGUAGCGGUGAAAUGCAUAGAUAUUAUCAAGAACUCCAAUUGCGUAGGCAGCUCACUUGGCUUUUACUGACACUCAUGCACGAAAGUGUGGGUAUCAAACAGGAUUAGAUACCCUGUAGUCCACACUGUAAACGAUGAUAACUAGGUGUCGGCCGAAUCUGGUCGGUGCCACAGCGAAAGCGUUAAG